AGUAGCAUUAACCUUGUUCGCUGACUAGCAUCAGAUAGUUGUGAUUGGUUUUAGGUAGCGGUGUGAAUGUUGACGUUACCUGCAGUUCCAGCCUUCCAUGAUGGUGUUGUUGAAGGGAGCUCUCUAUGCUACAGUUCUGUCUAGCUUUGUAGUGGUAACUUAUAGCAAUGCUGCCGACUUGCAGCAGCCAUCCAUUCUUCCAGCGGAUGACCAAUUCGCAGCUGCAACUUUAACUUUGAAUUCCAACUUCAACGGAAAUUCUAGCUCACCUUUCAAUAAGUCUAAUGCUGAGCAGCGAUUGGUAGACGAGGUUUUCUCUGAUUGGCUGUCUGAAUUUGGGGCUAAAAAUUUAGUUCCGCCUGAUGACGGAAAGGAUUUUAUCGCAAGGAUAGACAACGGAAGUACAAUCAAGCCCAAACGAC